rnacentral:rRNA from 1 species
CCUACGGGGGGCUGCAGUGGGGAAUAUUGGACAAUGGGGGCAACCCUGAUCCAGCCAUGCCGCGUGUGUGAAGAAGGCCCUCGGGUUGUAAAGCACUUUCAGUGAGGAAGAACGCCUGGUGGUUAAUACCCAUCAGGAAAGACAUCACUCACAGAAGAAGCACCGGCUAACUCCGUGCCAGCAGCCGCGGUAAUACGGAGGGUGCGAGCGUUAAUCGGAAUUACUGUGCGUAAAGCGCGCGUAGGUGGCUUGAUAAGCCGGUUGUGAAAGCCCCGGGCUCAACCUGGGAACGGCAUCCGGAACUGUCAGGCUAGAGUGCAGGAGAGGAAGGUAGAAUUCCCGGUGUAGCGGUGAAAUGCGUAGAGAUCGGGAGGAAUACCAGUGGCGAAGGCGGCCUUCUGGACUGACACUGACACUGAGGUGCGAAAGCGUGGGUAGCAAACAGGAUUAGAUACCCUUGUAGUC